AGGGCGCUGCGCAGUCUGCGGGCGUCACUGUGCCGCGCGCCGCCGGGUGGUUACAUCGAGGCUCAGCUGGCCCUCAGGCCGAAAGCGCGGGUCUGCCUUGGUUCGCCGGACCCAAGGUCUGUGAGCGGCCACGAUGUCGAUCUUCACCCCCACCAACCAGAUCCGCCUGACCAAUGUGGCCGUAGUACGAAUGAAGCGAGCCGGGAAGCGCUUCGAAAUCGCCUGCUACAAAAACAAAGUCGUGGGCUGGCGGAGCGGCGUGGAAAAAGACCUUGAUGAAGUUCUGCAGACGCACUCAGUGUUUGUAAAUGUCUCUAAAGGUCAGGUUGCAAAGAAGGAACAUCUCAUCAGUGCGUUUGGAACAGAUGACCAGACUGAAAUCUGUAAGCAGAUUUUAACUAAAGGAGAGGUUCAAGUGUCAGAUAAAGAAUGGCACACACAGCUGGAGCAGAUGUUUAGGGACAUUGCAACUAUUGUGGCCGACAAAUGUGUGAACCCUGAAACAAAGAGGCCGUAUACCGUUAUCCUUAUCGAGAGAGCCAUGAAGGACAUCCACUAUUCGGUCAAACCCAACAAGAGUACAAAACAGCAGGCUUUGGAAGUGAUAAAGCAGUUAAAGGAGAAAAUGAAGAUAGAACGUGCUCACAUGAGACUUCGUUUCAUUCUUCCAGUGAAUGAAGGGAAGAAGCUGAAAGAAAAACUCAAGCCACUCAUCAAGGUUAUAGAAAGUGAAGACUACGGUCAACAGUUAUUGUGUGUCUCAUCGACCCUGGCUGCUUCCGAGAAAUCGAUGAGCUCGUAAAAAAGGAGACAAAAGGCAAAGGCUCUUUGGAAGUACUCAAUUUGAAAGACGUGGAAGAAGAUGAGAAAUUGGAGUGACAGUCAUCAGUCUCUUCAGCUGUUAAACACUGAAGCAUUUUCAUUUCCUACAGCCCUGUUUUCUUUCUGUGAUCUGCCAAAUACUUGCUCAGAUGAGUUGACAUUUUCCAUCUUUGUGGCAAACAUGUACACAAAAACUUUCCUAAGUAAGUAUUAUAAUGUGGGAUUAAUUUAGUUUUAAUUAUCAAAUGGAGUUUUAGGCAAAAGUGAAAUACAGAGUCCAGAGUAGCAUUUUGUUACUGCCUCAUGCCUUUGAGCUUUCCAGGGUGAAAGUUAUUUGAGACAACUCUUGUGGAUAAAAAAUAAGUUUUGUACAUUAUAAGAAAAUAACUUUGGGAGGAUAUAUCUGUAUGACAGAAAGGGAGGAUUUGCCAAAAAAGAAAACGUGUAGUAUCUUAUUUCUACUUAAUGAAAUGUGUUUAUAGGGGUAACUGUCUCGUGACCUAAUACAAAGCUUGGAUGAUGACUUCUUGAUUUUCUGAAAAAUAGAUAGUUGAUGACUGUGCAGGAUUUCAACAUGCUGCCAUAGCCUAGGUUAUUCUUGGUAAAAAAUACAGCCAUUUAUUGCUAACUCUUAAAGUUUAUAAUAUAUAUUACUAGAGUUGAAAAUAUAUGUAAUCAAUAAAACCACUGUUUAUUUU